rnacentral:rRNA from 1 species
AGAGUUUGAUCCUGGCUCAGAGUGAACGCUGGCGGCGUGCCUAACACAUGCAAGUCGAACGAUGAUGGAGGAGCUUGCUCUUCCUGAUUAGUGGCGCACGGGUGAGUAACGCAUAGGUAAUGUGCCCCUUAGUUCGGGAUAGCCACUGGAAACGGUGAUUAAUACCGGAUACUCCUUCUCAUUAUAAGAUGAGUCGGGAAAGUUUUUCGCUAAGGGAUCAGCCUAUGUCCUAUCAGCUAGUUGGUGAGGUAAUGGCUCACCAAGGCAAUGACGGGUAUCUGGUUUGAGAGGAUGAUCAGACACACUGGAACUGAGACACGGUCCAGGCUCCUACGGGAGGCAGCAGUGAGGAAUAUUGCACAAUGGAGGAAACUCUGAUGCAGCAACGCCGCGUGGAGGAUGACGCAUUUCGGUGUGUAAACUCCUUUUAAGAGGGAAGAUUAUGACGGUACCUCUUGAAUAAGCACCGGCUAACUCCGUGCCAGCAGCCGCGGUAA